GGAGGAUUGUUUGGAGUUACUGCUAAUAACUUUUAAUCAAUUUAUUUUGAUGUCCUCCU
rnacentral:tRNA from 1 species